GAUGAACGCUAGCUACAGGCUUAACACAUGCAAGUCGAGGGGUAACGAGAGGAAAGCUUGCUUUCCUUGUCGACGACCGGCGCACGGGUGAGUAACGCGUAUCCAACCUGCCCCCAACUAAGGAAUAACCUUGCGAAAGUAAGACUAAUACCUUAUAAUUUCCUCAGAUGUCAUCUGACGAGGAAUAAAGAUUUAUCGGUUGUGGAUGGGGAUGCGUCUGAUUAGCUUGUUGGCGGGGUAACGGCCCACCAAGGCAACGAUCAGUAGGGGUUCUGGGAGGAAGGUCACCCACAUUGGAACUGAGACACGGUCCAAACUCCUACGGGAGGCAGCAGUGAGGAAUAUUGGUCAAUGGGCGAAAGCCUGAACCAGCCAAGUAGCGUGCAGGAUGACGGCCCUAUGGGUUGUAAACUGCUUUUAUACAGGAAUAAAGUUAGCCACGUGUGGUUAUUUGUAGGUACUGUAUGAAUAAGGACCGGCUAAUUCCGUGCCAGCCGCCGCAGUAA
rnacentral:rRNA from 1 species